rnacentral:rRNA from 1 species
UACGGAGGGUGCAAGCGUUAUCCGGAUUCACUGGGUUUAAAGGGUGCGUAGGUGGGCAGGUAAGUCAGUGGUGAAAUCUCCGGGCUUAACCCGGAAACUGCCAUUGAUACUAUAAGUCUUGAAUUAUCUGGAGGUAAGCGGAAUAUGUCAUGUAGCGGUGAAAUGCUUAGAUAUGACAUAGAACACCAAUUGCGAAAGGCAGCUUACUACGGAUAUAUUGACACUGAGGCACGAAAGCGUGGGGAUCAAACAGG